rnacentral:rRNA from 1 species
UACGUAGGCAGCAAGCGUUGUUCGGAGUUACUGGGCGUAAAGGGUGUGUAGGCGGUUUUUUAAGUUUGGUGUGAAAUCUCCCGGCUCAACUGGGAGGGUGCGCCGAAUACUGAAAGACUAGAGUGCGGGAGAGGAACAUGGAACUCCAGGUGUAGUAGUGAAAUGCGUAGAUAUUGGGAAGAACACCGGUGGCGAAGGCGGCGACCUGGUCCGACACUGACGCUGAGGCGCGAAAGCGUGGGGAGCAAACAGG